rnacentral:misc_RNA from 1 species
UCGUAACAAGGUUUCCGUAGGUGAACCUGCGGAAGGAUCAUUACCGAGUGAGGGCCCUUUGGGUCCAACCUCCCACCCGUGUUUAUUUUACCUUGUUGCUUCGGCGGGCCCGCCUUUACUGGCCGCCGGGGGGCUCACGCCCCCGGGUCCGCGCCCGCCGAAGACACCCUCGAACUCUGUCUGAAGAUUGAAGUCUGAGUGAAAAUAUAAAUUAUUUAAAACUUUCAACAACGGAUCUCUUGGUUCCGGCAUCGAUGAAGAACGCAGCGAAAUGCGAUACGUAAUGUGAAUUGCAAAUUCAGUGAAUCAUCGAGUCUUUGAACGCACAUUGCGCCCCCUGGUAUUCCGGGGGGCAUGCCUGUCCGAGCGUCAUUGCUGCCCUCAAGCCCGGCUUGUGUGUUGGGCCCCGUCCUCCGAUUCCGGGGGACGGGCCCGAAAGGCAGCGGCGGCACCGCGUCCGGUCCUCGAGCGUAUGGGGCUUUGUCACCCGCUCCGUAGGCCCGGCCGGCGCUUGCCGAUCAACCCAAAUUUUUAUCCAGGUUGACCUCGGAUCAGGUAGGGAUACCCGCUGAACUUAAGCAUAUCAAUAA